CUUAGGCGCCUUAGCUUCUUCAUAUGUGAAUCAUGAAUGGAAGUGCUUGGCUCACAGUGUCACAGAUCGUUCUUUAAACUAUUUGAAGAUCUACUUUAUCUUAACUAACGACUCUAAUCUAUAUCUAUGUAGUGGAGUGGAUACCCUUUCAGGAAACACCGGCCACCCCGAUAUCCACGUGACCCUUCGCCCUAGUUGGCACCUUGUGUCCGCGCAUAAAAAGGUAGACCAACGUGGGCAAUGUCCAUUCGACCGGCAUCUCUUGUCGCUGUAGUGUCCGUAUGUUACUGGACCUACGUAUGUUACUGGACCUACGUCGUCUCCACUCCCUGUUUGUGUCUGUUUCUACACCAUGUGUUUAUGUAUGGCUGCAGAUGUAUAUUUCAAGAAGAAAGGAUGCUUUCUUAUUCCUAAGAGUUUAUCAAUAGGAUGGAUGCCUUAAAACUCACUUGUUAUGCCAGAAACUCUUCCUACGAAACUUCCAUACUAGAAUCUGUCCAGUGCCUGUGAUCCUCUGAGUUGAAGGAGAAUGUGAUCCAUAAUACCUACUAGGAGCUUGCUGAUAGCUGGAAGUUCAUGAAUACUAUGUUGUCCUUGAUUUGAUGAUUCUGAAAACUACCAUUUCUGAAGACUUGAGCAUUAUUUCUAUAAUUUAAAAAAAUCUUUUCAGGAAAUAUUGUGUUUAUAAUAUUAAGAAAGUGAAGAUAAUAUUGUUCUUACUAAUAUUAUUGACUUAUUAAAAUAGAAAGCACA